rfam:Stegodyphus mimosarum contig45532, whole genome shotgun sequence.
GCCUUUGUGGUGUAACGGUAGCACACUCGGCGCGUAUUCGAGAGGUCCAGGUUCGAGUCCCGGCGAGGGCA